AUUGAACGCUGGCGGCAGGCCUAACACAUGCAAGUCGAGCGGAUGACGGGAGCUUGCUCCUUGAUUCAGCGGCGGACGGGUGAGUAAUGCCUAGGAAUCUGCCUGGUAGGGGGGGACAAAGUUUCGAAAGGAACGCUAAUACCGCAUACGUCCUACGGGAGAAAGCAGGGGACCUUCGGGCCUUGCGCUAUCAGAGGAGCCCAGGUUGGAUUAGCUAGUAGGUGAGGUAAAGGCUCACCUAGGCGACGAUCCGUAACUGGUCUGAGAGGAUGAUCAGUCACACUGGAACUGAGACACGGUCCAGACUCCUACGGGAGGCAGCAGUGGGGAAUAUUGGACAAUGGGCGAAAGCCUGAUCCAGCCAUGCCGCGUGUGUGAAGAAGGUCUUCGGAUUGUAAAGCACUUUAAGUUGGGAGGAAGGGCAGUAAGUUAAUACCUUGCUGUUUUGACGUUACCGACAGAAUAAGCACCGGCUAACUCUGUGCCAGCAGCCGCAGUAA
rnacentral:rRNA from 1 species